UUCGCAUACCGCUCUGUCGCACUAUAUUCAUAUAGUGAGGAAAGUCCGGACAGCGUAGAGUACCAUGCCAUCUAACGGGUGGGGUCACGCCUCGGCGUGAUACAGAUAGUGUCACAGAAACUAAACUUCCAUACCUCUGGUGUGGUAAAGGUGAAAACGUGAGGUAAGAGCUCACGAUGUCAUUCAGUAAUGAGUGACAUGGAUAAACCUCAUGGGCUGAAAUGCCAUGUACACUUUGGACCGCAUUGCGGAUAAGGUUACUCGCUUAAUCAACAUGAGAUGAUCCAAAGGGGGUAGGCAGAAUAGAGAAAUGACAGAGGUCACGCCUCGGCGAGAUACAGAAUCCGGCUUAUAGGUAUGCGAUUUUU
rnacentral:RNase_P_RNA from 1 species